UACGGGGGGGGCAAGCGUUGUUCGGAUUUACUGGGCGUAAAGGGCGCGUAGGCGGCGCAACAAGUCACUUGUGAAAUCUCCGGGCUUAACCCGGAGCGGCCAAGUGAUACUGUCGUGCUAGAGUGCGGAAGGGGCUACUGGAAUUCUCGGUGUAGCGGUGAAAUGCGUAGAUAUCGAGAGGAACACCUGCGGCGAAGGCGGGUAGCUGGGCCGACACUGACGCUGAGGCGCGAAAGCCAGGGGAGCAAACGGG
rnacentral:rRNA from 1 species